rnacentral:misc_RNA from 1 species
CGGGCAGUUUCUGUACUAUAUUG